rnacentral:rRNA from 1 species
CUUAACCCAGGAAGUGCAUUUGAUACUGCAUAGCUGGAGUAUGAUAGAGGAAGAUGGAAUUCCAGGUGUAGGGGUGAAAUCCGUAGAUAUCUGGAGGAAUACCAAUUGUGAAGACAGUCUUCUAGGUCAUAACUGACGCUGAGAUUCGAAAGCGUGGGUAGCAAACAGGAUUAGAUACCCUGGUAGUCCACGCCGUAAACGAUGGAUGCUUGUCGUUGGAAGUGUUAACCCUUUCAGUGACGAAGCUAACGCGUUAAGCAUCCCGCCUGGGGAUUACGGUCGCAAGAUUAAAACUCAAAGAAAUUGACGGGGACCCGCACAAGCAGUGGAGCAUGUGGUUUAAUUCGAUGCAACGCGAAGAACCUUAUCCUGGUCUUGACAUCCUCGGACAACCUGUGAAAGCAGGCUUUCCCUUCGGGGACUG